CCCAAAGCCUCUAGCAUGUAACUUGAUACAUAUGACAUCCUGGUUUGCAGUGUCCACUUAUGAUGCAUUGUUAGUCUCAUCACCCAACCGCCCCCCCACCCACCAUUUUUAACUCCUGGAUGGAUAGCUUCUGCUCCCAAAGCUCACAGUUUGGCAAAGAAGAAACUUGCUCUCAUGAAACAAAACUAUAGAAGACUAUAGCUGCAUCCUUUAAAAAUGACUAAGAGUGGGGAGGCUGCGAGGUGAUUCUAAAGAAGGGAGCAGGAGAGACCCAGAGGGGGAUGACUAAGUGGGACUUCAUUAGCAGAGUAUAUGGAACAUGUAGGGAGUUAUGAGAGAUUCAAGGGGAUACAUGAAUUGGGAC
rnacentral:lncRNA from 1 species